GUGCUCGCUUCGGCAGCACAUAUACUAAAAUUGGAAUGAUGCAGAGACGAUUAGCACGGCCCCUGUGCGGGGACGGCACGCAAAUUCGUGGAGCGGUCCAUAUUUAA